UGAAGAUUUUGUAACAAAUUAUAGCAAUAGUCAUACAAAAUUACUGAAAUAAUACUAUCAUUUCAAUGUCAGAGUGCAAAUAUCAGUUCUAUCAUACAUUUUUCAAGAAUAAAUAAAAAUAUCUAUGUCUGAAUAUAUAGACCAUUCACUAUAGUCAUUCUAGAAAAUGAGUCAUCUGUAUGAGAAUAAUUUUCACGUUACCAAAAAAAUUUAUCACAUAUAAAAUUGAUGAUGUAGGACACAGGCUUACUAACAUAAGUUUCAUCCCUGAAUACCUCCAUGAAUAUUUACAUAUCCCUUCAAUUACAGGACAUAGAUCAUAAAGGCGCUACUAAUUAAUAUUAGAUUUUUAUGUAUAUACAAAGAACUGUACAGUAGUCAUUUUCUUAGACAAAUAGUCAGCUACGAGUACUAUAUAGAUAUCUUCCUGAAAUGUUGUCUGCAUUAAAUAAUACCGAUCUGCAAAGGAUUUAAAGAUCACCUCAGUAUUUGCAAAUACAGAAUGGAAGAUUUAACACUCAAGAUAACAAAAGCUUAAUUAAAGGUGAUAUAGAAAAAUAAAACAAAAUACUUGUGUCUAAAAAAAGUACAUAAGAAAAUAAACGUGCUCCAGAGUGUGAAGAUUAUAUGUAGAGAACUUAUAUAAAACAUAUACUCACUAGUUAAAUUAUUUCUCUUCUGAUUUUCUCCUCUGCUACCCCUAACAUUUUUAAAAACAUCUCUACUUUUACAAGAUUAUACAAAUUGAACACUUUCAUUUAACUUUAGACAAUUAUUCUCAUUUGCAUUUCUCACUGCAACUAGAUCUAUAUAUACUCUACACAAAUAAACGUUUUGUUUCUAAUAAUACAUUAACUUCUGUUAAUUAAUGGUUCUUUCACACAAAUGCCAGUUGAAUUAAUCAUUUAAUAUAAUACCCAGUUGAUAUCUUCAAUCUGAUACCAAACUCUACUUGAUUUUAUAAAAUGUUGCCCCAAAUUUGUUGCAGAACUCUCAGAAUGGGCUUCAUGAUAUUAAAACAUGACCAAGAUUUAUUAAUGUUUAAAAUGUAAAUGAUUCAGAAACAGUUUUUCACUUAUUAAAAAAGAACAACAACAAAAUUAGCAGACUUAUAAGGGAAUGAGGAGAAAAGAAUAUUGUUAGUAAUGGUCCUUCUGAAAAAUGUAAAAUUAAUACAGCAUGAUAGAGCAGAUAUUCCAUAUUGCUGGAAUAAAUGUUCAAAAAUUAUAAACAACAACAUUAAUGAAUCCAAUCUUACAUUCUGGAUUAUUUUUACUAGUGGAAUAAGCUUAAUUAAUUUUGUCUGUUUGAUGUCACUGAAACUAAACAGUAAAUUCAAUAAUCUCUUUACAUUUUCACCAUUUAACCUCCUGCAGGCUCCCUAAUGUCUAUUCAGAUCUAUAUUAAAUUAAGUACCAAUGCUAAUGAAGGGCAAUAAACAUGGCUGUCAGUAGAUUUUUCUUUCAUUAAGCACAUUAUCCUCUUACUGAGCUGUAAAUGAGUAAACAUUAGUUUUGUUAAACCAUGCAAAAAGACAGAAUGAAAAUAAUUUUUAAUUGCAACCCUUAAGCCAUUUGCUGGGGAUUCUUCAUUUUGUUUUUGUUUGGGUUGUUCGUUUUUGUUGGGGUUUUUUUACCUUUUUUUUAAUGGAUCUAAAAAGGUCUCUUCAGUUGAAAUAUAAACAUCGACAUCAUGGGGUAUGUCUUUAGGUUCUAGUGCCUCAGUGCUGUCUGCCAAGAACUCUCAUUGUGCAGCCAUGUUCAGAAUCAGCAUUUCAGUGCACUCCUCCAGCAGCUAAAUGGAUACAAGAGAUGGGAUCCAGUCAUUCACAGAUACAUUAUGGAGAAUCACAUUCUCCUUUAAAGAAAAUCAACCUGAUGAAUAUUAACCACCUAUUACUAUGCAUGCUAAAAAUUUUCAAGGCUAACUGGGAUGCCUGUUUUAUUGUCAUUUUAUUCUUCUUUUAGAAAUAUUUGAUUAAAAUCAAGACAAUUUUUAAAAGAUGUAUUCUAAGAACCUGUUAGGUCAAGAAACCUUAAUAAAAGUUAUCAAGGUCUGUUUAAGAAUAUCAACUGAAUCAUCAUUACAAGGUGACCGAACUGCAUCAAACAUUAGAUUAAAAGCAACAGAGAAAAGCUUUGAUUACCUUAGUUGACCUGUGGGAACACUUUGAGGUCUGUUUCUCUUGGAUGAUAGUAUAAGACAGAAAUUGUCUGUACAGCUUCAUUUGUAGCUGUCUGUAUAUCUGAUAGACCAUCACAGCUCUGAACUGAUUUUGUUUGAUGUGUAGAACAAUCUUGAAGUUUUGACCUUCUUGAUACAAUUGCUCACUGCAGACAUGUUAUGGGCAAAUAUAAGCUAUCUAGAGCUUUGGCUCCCUUCAGUAUUUUCAAGAGCUACUUUUGCAUAGGAACAAAGACAUUUCCUAAAAGAGAAAUAUGAUAAAUUUAGUCAAAAUCUUAUUUUUAU
ensembl:lncRNA